rnacentral:tRNA from 1 species
GCCUGGAUGGCUCAGUGGGUUAAGCGUCUGACUUCGGCUCAGGUCAUGAUCUCGCAGUUUGUGAGUUCAAGCCCCACGUCGGGCU